rnacentral:sRNA from 2 species
UAUCUCUCCGUACGGGGAAGGAUGAGAAGCUUCGACUAAGGUUCGAUUCGAGCGCAGCGAGAAAGCGUUGCCGCAGGCAACGACCCGAAGGGUGAAGCGCGCAGCGCUGAGUAAUCCUUCCCCCACCACCA